AUUGAACGCUGGCGGCAUGCCUUACACAUGCAAGUCGAACGGCAGCACGGGUGCUUGCACCUGGUGGCGAGUGGCGAACGGGUGAGUAAUACAUCGGAACGUACCUUAUCGUGGGGGAUAACGCAGCGAAAGCUGUGCUAAUACCGCAUACGCCCUGAGGGGGAAAGCGGGGGAUCGCAAGACCUCGCGCGAUUAGAGCGGCCGAUGCCUGAUUAGCUUGUUGGUGGGGUAAAAGCCCACCAAGGGGACGAUCAGUAGCUGGUCUGAGAGAACGGUAAGCCACACUGGGACUGGGACACGGCCCAGAGUCCGACGGGAGGCAGCAGUGGGGAAUUUUGGACAAUGGGGGCAACCCUGAUCCAGCAAUGCCGCGUGAGUGAAGAAGGCCUUCGGGUUGUAAAGCUCUUUUGUCAGGGAAGAAACACCGGCUCUAACACAGUCCGGGAAUGACGGUACCUGAAGAAUAAGCACCGGCUAACUACGUGCCAGCCGCCGCCGUAA
rnacentral:rRNA from 1 species